rnacentral:lncRNA from 1 species
UUUUUGUUACCUAAAAAAAAGAUAAUAAAGGAGCUCUCAUUCUCUCAUUGAAGACACUCAGCCGCAGAUCCCAAAAGAGAGACCAUCGUCUCCAUCUCUCUCUCAUUCUAAAAAAAAAUCCCAGCGCCUCACCCCACCUUUCUAAUCUACAAAAGCCUCACUCACCCCAAAAGCAAAAGAGCCGCAUACACAAACGGAAAAACACACAAAAAAAAGAGGCAAAAGGAAAAAUCACACAAAAACGAAAGAGGAAGGCAGAGAACAAAUCACACACAUACACAAGAUCUUGUUCCUUCUAAAGGCUUUUCCCCAUUUCUGUUUCUGUCAUCGAUUGCGUGCCAAGACGAGGAGCUGUAUCAAUAAUUCUUCAUCCAAUGUCUUGGCUGCUUAGCAUAUAAAAUUAGAUUAUAACUUGGUCAUGUGUAAAGCCUUUCAGCUAAUGAAGCUCAUCCAAACCCAAUUAUUUCACCAAAGUUCUUGGAAGCUAUUUUUUUAAGAUGUCGGCCAAGCUCUCUAUUUGAGCACUUCAAGGUGUUCUGUUGCGUCGUCGGUCCGGAGUUCCAAUUAAUACCUCGUUUGAGCAUUGCUAUUUCUUUGGUAUUAGCUUUCUUUGUAUGCAGUAAAAAGGUUAGAAUCCAAUAACAAAAGGUCUAUUUUCAUCUACAUAUGCAUUUGGUUAGUUUCUUUUCUUAAAUGUUUUAUGUGAUUCCUCUGUUGUAAUGACCCAAGGGGUCAUUUUAUGAAUUAAGAUUCUGUUCUAGGUUUAUUAGCCAUAAGAAGAUUAAUUUUAAAUACCUCGAUUUACGUACAUAGUCCGGGCGUGAAACCGGAAAGCUUUUAUGUGAAAAUGUAAGAAAUAAUGAUUUUUAUAAUUUAAGUUUGGUUUUAGUUGACUUUGGUCAGCAUUUUGAGUAAACAGACCCGGAUCAGUGUUCCAACGAUCCUGAAAGGUCUGCAGUAAAAUAUUGGACUUGCGCUUGUGCCCGAAAUUUAAUUCCGAGGUCCCAAGCCUUAGAAAUCAAUUUUUGAAAGAAAUUGUUUUGCUGAAUUAUUAAUGAAAUAAAGAAAAGAAUUAAUGUUUGAAACCAUUGGUAUCGGGCCCAUAUUUUGGUUCCGAAGCUCGAUACAUUUUUUUUAUGAUAUUUAAGUCUUAUUUGUGAAAUUAUGUGAGAAUCAGAGUUGAUUUGACGUGAUUCGGACGUCCGGUUGAGAAAUAGUGAAAUUUAAGUGUUCUUGAGAAAAAUUAUGAGUUUUGAGGUUAAAUUCAUUGUUUUAAAUAUUAUUUUCAUGAUUUGAUUGCAUGAACAAGUCUGUACGAUAUUUUUAGACUUGCGUGCAUGUUUGAUUUGGAGCCCCAAGGGCUCCGGUGAGUUUCGGGUAGGCUUCGGGAUGUUUUUAACUUGUAAAAAUAAAUUUGUUGUCAUAACAGAUUUUGGUGCACUGGUGCUCCACGCUUUUUCUUCAAAAAAAAAAGAUAAUUCACGUAAUCCAACUCGGCGGCAGCAUUUUUUUCAUAUUUUCGAACUAAAAAGACCUAGAGGCGAUUUUCUUCACACAGGUUCAUCCCCAAAGUGUUUCUAAACAAUUCUAAACUUUUCUCUUUCGAUUACCCAAUGUUUUUCAUCACUUUUCAAUAAAAAAUCAAGAAUUUUCAUGGCAAAAAUUUGGGGUUUGGGUAGAAUUAGAGAAUUUUGUAAAAAUCAAAUUUUGACCUCGAAUUAGGGUCGGUUUCAAACUAAUUGCAUACUCGGGCUCGGAGGUGAAUGGGUAGACAGAAUUUGGUCCGAACCCUGAGCUUGGACCAAGCUGGCCCGAGGUCGGUUUUUAAUUUUUUUUUUGAGAAAACGUAGGAAAACCAUAAUUUUUCAGAAAAGUUAGUUCCUUUAACAUUAAUUAAUGAUAUUAAGUUAAUUAUGAUUAGAUUCGAGUGUAUUGGAGGUGAAUUCAAAAGGAAAAGCUAUAAUUGAAUAGUGAGUGGCAUGCGGAUUUGAGGUAAGUGUGUGGUUUAACCUUGACUUGAGGGAAUAGGAACCCCCAACCUAAUUGCUAUGUGAAUUUGCAUGUGCGUGGUGUAUAGGUAAGGUGACGAGUAUCUAUGCACCACCAAAUUAUCUGUUAAACAUGAUCCCUUCCCCGUUUCCAAUUUAAUUGAUCCCUGGCUUAAUUGUUUUAUGAUCAUUGAUGUCUAUAUACUUACUUGAUUUCGUUAAAUUGCUGUUAAGUAUUGUUUCAAGUAUUUUGGAAGUGUUGGUUGUUCCUUUGGCUUCAUUGUGAUACAUAAAAGGGUGAGCUAGUUGACCUUGUUUUAAUAUAUAUUACGGUUGGUUUAUUUGUGAAAUGAUAAAUGAUGAAGUUAUGAGUGGUACGGUUUACUGUUUACAAUUGUUGAGGCAAAAAUAUUGUGAAAGAGAUUGAUUUGAAAUUUGUGAAUCUUUAUAAAUAAAAGUAAUAUGAUUGUCUGGUGGGAGCGGGUUGCACGCCGCAACAAGGAGUGAUAAGGGUGGGCAGGUGGGAUCGGGUUGCACGCCGCAACAGGAUAAAUAAGGGUGAUAUUUGUAUAUAGGGAGGAGGAAUAAGGGUGGACAGGUGGGAGCGGGUUGCACGCCGCAACAAAGAGAGAUAAGGGAGAAUACUUAUGAUUUAUUGAUUUUUAAAUACAAGGAACAGAAAUCUCUCUAUUUUACUCUACUGUUUAUCUCAUAUUUGACACCUAUGGUUACUUUGAAAGCGAAAUUUGAAAUGUGGAAGCUUAUGUGAGAAUUUAGUUAUAGCUGAGACCUGGAAAGAGGUGGCUGAAUUAUUUCAUUUAUUGUUAUAGUUUAUUAUUUUUGUUUAGUUUAGAAUUUCUUUCUUGCUUUAUCAUUUAUAUGUUAUUACAGGUUAUAUUAUAAUUGCCCCGCCGUAGCCUCGUCACUACUUCGUCAGGGUUAGGCUCGGCACAUACUCAGUACAUGGGGUCGGUUGUACUGAUACUACACUCUACACUCUUUUGUGCAGAUCCAGGUACCGUUCAGUGUUAGAGACUUUAGUAGCUAUCAUUCAUCACUCGGAGACACGAGGUAGAUCUGCUGGCGUCUGCAGAAUUCCUGGAGUCUUCUCUUAGUUUUAUAGAGACUGUUUAUUUUACUCAAAAUAGACACAUUAUUUCUUUUAGCCCAUUAUAUGUAGUAUUAUUAAAAGUUCAUGAAUUGUGACACCAGACUCUAGGGCAGUCUUAGAGUUAUAUAUUUAGUUUGUGGCUUGGUUUAUUUAUUCGUUUAUUAUUUUAUUCAUGAAGUUAUUGAUGGAAACUAUCAGAUUUAGUUAUAUUUAAAUUGUCUUAUUGUGUUUGAUUAAUUAUUCAAAGGGAUAUGGCUAAUCAAUUUCUAACAUUGGCUUGCCUAACAAGUGUGGUGUUAGGCGCCAUCACGACCCUAAGGUUGGGAAUUUGGGUCGUGACAAGUUGGUAUCAGAGUACUAGGUUGCUUAGGUCUCACAAUUCACGAACAAGCUUAGUAAAGUCUGAAGGAUUGGUACGGAGACGUCUGUACUUAUCUCUCAGAUGCUAUUGAGUUAGGAAACAACUCCAUUUUUUAUUUCUAUUCUAUCGUGCAAUUCUUGUUAUCUCAAAUACUGAUUGGAUUCUUCUAUUCUGUCGCAGAUGGUGAGAACACGUGCUUCCUCUUCUGCUGAACAUCAUUCCG